UGUUAUAAAAAAGAAAUUGUUUUUACUGAAUUAUAAACAUGCAGUUUCAAUAAUGUUUUUGAGUAACUGGAAAACAAUGUUUUUGCUUCCGCCUUCAGUUUCCUUGGAUGCGGUUGCCUUCAAGUCAUACUUUAAGAAAGAAAACCACAAUAGCUGUACAUGAUCUUCGAGGAACAAGUAUUAUUUGAUGUUUGAAACAAAAUGGAUUUUAAGAUCGUAUAUUAUAUAUUUUUUCUUUUAGUUGGAUCAUGUAUCUGUCAAGCUUAUUACACUACUACCACUGCAGCUCCCCAAACGUUAAGCAGUGGAGUCAUAGCAGGAAUUGUGAUCGGCGUAAUGAUGACCAUCGGCGGUUGUUGUGUCUGUUUUUGUUGUUGUUGUCUUGGGGCUUCACAAGUAUCGUCUGGUUAACGCAAUGAAAGAAUUGGUGAAAACAGCCUUCUUUAUAAAACUUUGUUAAUGAGAAAAAUGAUUGAUAUUUGAAUUUAACAGAGUCUGGUUAUGUCUACUUUAACUUGAGGAGGCCGAAUGGUUA